UGUCCGGCAGAGAGGGAGUCGGGGCAGAAGAGCUGGGGCAGUUCCCUCUGAAAAAGCAGACCAAAAGCCACCGAGAUCUUUCCUUCAGGACAUGGAUUGCGCUGGAAUCAGGCCUCAAUCUGGCUUCAUGGAGCUGGAACUGAGGCUUGGCCGUUUCUCUGAGAAAAGGACCAUCCUUCAGGAGGUGCUUCUGGAGU